UGGAGCUGCAGCUGCUGGCCUACGCCACAGCCAUAGCAACAGUGGAUCCAAGCUGCAUCUGUGACUUACUCCACAGUUUUCGGCAAUGCCGGAUCUUUAACACACUGAGAGGGGCCAGGGGUUGAACCCUCACGGACCCUAUAUCAGGUUCUUAACCUGCUGACCCACAAUGGGAACUCCCACUCAAUAAAAUGUUAUUGAAUUCUUUCUCAAGGGCAGAUCUAGCUUUUGUGAGGCCAAACACUUAUUUGAGAACCUUUUUUAAGAAAAAUUACAAGUAAAAAAUUAGGUACAAAAACGAAUAUUUAGAAUGAGAAGUCGCAAUAUAUUAUUGGUGUCUUGGACAUUCAGGUCCUUUAUUCUGAGGUCUCUCUGGGUAACUGACAUGCCAUGCUUGUAUAGAAAGGCUUCCUUCAUUACAGCCUGCUCUACUAGAAUGUUCUGUGACGCCCAGACCUUACAAAGGCUGUGCAGGGGAGGGUCCCGAAGCUUGACCUUCAUUAACUGCCAAGAAAUUCCACGUGCUCCAUGCAAGGAUGAGCAAACACAGAUACAAUCUGCUCUCUUGGCACUUGCCAUCAAAUACCAUCAAAUGAUCACACUAAACAUUUACAGUUAAAAACUGAUUCGUUCCAUCAAAGAGAGAAAAAUGGGGCCAUCUCUGAAGUUGCAUGACAAAGGGGAUGACAGACUGCAGGCCCUAGGGCACUUUCGCUGAGAAGGUGACCCUUGGGGAGGUAGCACGGUGGACAGAAGAGGGCUUCAGACCGGGAGUCACUCUGUCCCCAAAUGCUUGUUCAUUCCUUGGUGCUGAUGUGAAUGUGUGAGCUGCCCCUUGCCAGGAAGGGCCACACAGGGCCCUGUUCCCUGCACUGCGGACCAGCUCGGAGAGCACAGCGGAGCUGGCCUGGCACGUGAGGCUGUGGUGCUCAGUGCCCAAGAAAGCUGCUCCCACUCUGAAUCCUGAGGAACCAAUUGCAGCCCUCCCUCCAUCCUAACCUCCUCCUCUGGCUUGGAUUUCAUUCCAGUUUCCAUCCCCAAGACACCUCCUUAAUGUCCUAGCUGCAUCCAAGUGGCAUGCCGAGACAGCAUACUUGGCAGGCAGCUGCUGGCACCAUGCAGCGCCCAAGAAUAGACCUCAAGACUCUGUGACCCCCAACCCCAGAUGCUGGUGGCUGGCUCUGCCGCUGCUUAGACCCUGCGACCUGAAAAGUCAAUCCCUGGAGCGAUGCAGUGAGGGCAACAGCAACCAUCGUAGAAGCCAAAACCCAAAGCUGGGGAAGUCCAUUCCAAGCACCCUGGGAUCCACUGAUUUUAGCGACAAGCUGAAUUCCUACAUCAUUUGAAAAGGAAGAAGCAUUUGCACCUAAUUUGUGCCUGGCACACAGCAGACUCUUGGCAAGUGGUUGGUGAAGGAAGGCAUGGAUGGAUGAAAGAACACAAGUCCUGCUCGGUCCUCCUGGAGAAGGAGAAAGAACCCUGGUGGCAGGGGCCGGUAGGUGCGUGCCCUGCUGGAUCCAGGUGCUGUUUCUGCAGCCCAACCUCAGGCUUGCAGGAAUGUUCCUCAGGCUGCUCUGAGGGGGAGGAGGUGGCUCCGUGUCCAAAGGGGGAGGGGAGGAGAGCUGUGCCUCCAGCCAGAGCCCCAGCCCCUCCCCCAUCUCCAGCCAGGACACCUUCACAGACCCUGCUGAGCCCAGUCGCCCACUGAUUGGGGUUGGGGUAAACUGUUCAGGCUGAUUUUCUACAGAGAGUUUUCUGUACCUGCCUCCAGCUUCCCCUCCCCUUGUCAAAACUUCCCUUGGAAAUCAGUCUGGCUCCCCCAUGCCUGAUGGCUCUCUUCUUGGUGGGUGUUCCCUUGCUAUGAAGAAAAAGAUGGCACCAUACUACAAAAUGCUUGAGGGAUAGAGAAAGGACAAAACCCUCAGUGGUGCCACCAACCGAAUAUCUGCCCUGAUAGUCGCUGUUUGGUCUUAGUGUGGCUCACAGCAUCUGGGCUCCAAAUGCCAGCCUGUGAGCCAUCCCUGCCCUCCCCUAGGCUCUCCACUGUGGUACCCAAUCCCUAGGCCACCUACCAGGCUGAGGGCAGGGCCAGAGCUGGGGGAGACAGGGAGAGCCAGUUGGAGUCUGAGGGCCUCUCAAAGGGCUGAGGGGUUCAGCCAUGGCCCGUCCCCCACUGAAAACAUCAGGAGCCAAAGAAAGUGCUGAUCGAAAGGGAGCAAAUCAGUGGGAGAGGCAGUGAUGGCUUGUCCAGCCAGAGGGGCCCACGAGGAGGGACCUGCUUAGAAACUACAAGGUCACACUUAGGUUUGUCCAAGCUGCCCUUGAGGCAGGAGGUAGAUGGGCCCCAGAAUAGACAUUGGCAACCACCCUCUUAUUCACACUUCCUGAGGCAGGAGAUAGGUGGGCUCUGGGAUAAACAUUUACAUCCAGCCACCUACUUACACUUCAAGUUAGAAAUGACCACAGGCCCAGGCAAAUAUUGGGUACUUGUCUUCUGGAAACUUGUUCAACAAUGGUAAUGACAGGAUCAGAAGCGGGGGCUGAGCCCUGCUUGGACGAAAGCCAAGAGGUCACAUACUCCCCAUCCUUGGGUUCAGGGAGCCCCCAACUACACAUGUGCAGAGAAACCCCUCUGGGUCAGAAAGAGAGGGGUUGCCAGGCCAUAAUAAGUCUGGAUAACCUGCCCACCAUGCUUUGCUUCGGAAUCCAUCUUGAGUAAAAGAUGCACCUGCAGAUCAGGGAGGGCCCUGGGUCCGGGUCAAGUGUAAAAGACAAAACAAGAUAACUGGCCAAGGGAGGAGAAAGACCUGGAAGCAGUAUCCUCUGUAAGUUAUUUAAAUCGCCUCAUUCAGGGGGGCGCCCAAGCCCAUGCUUCUCCUUUGGGCGGGUAUUACUGUGUGCUUCUGCCUUAGAUAAACAGACUACUGCCCUGCCUGCUCUCCCACAGGUCCUGCUGUAUUUCUAACAAUAAACUUUGUGCCUGUUUUCACAGUCUUUGCCUCCUUGAAACAUUCUUGCUUUCAACAGGGGGCAAGAAUCAGAGCAAGUCUGUUUUCCGCCUCUAGCUGGUCUAGUGGCUAGGAUUCCUGGGUUUCACUUAGGCUGCCCAGGUUCAAUUUGUGAGCAGAGAAGUAAGAUCACAUUUCCAGCCAUCACGCACUGCUGUCUCUCUGAAAUCACCCUGACUAGGCAGCCUGCCCUGGGCGGCCAUCAGAGACGGAACAGGGCGCAGGGACCCCAGCCCUACCUGUGGGCUCGACCACGUCCUCCAGCUGGUUUGCCUUUCAUUUCUCAGGUCUCCUGUCUAGCUUCAUUAUGGGCCUCAGGCUUCUGGCAACUUCCAGAUGUUAACACCACCUCCUGCCCAGCGGGGGAGUUGCUGAUGGCAGCCCAGGUGUUAGAGGGAGGCCAGAUGGCAGGUGGCAGUGCUGACCCACUCUUGCUCCAGAACUGCUGGGGGCCUGGCGGAAACUCUUCGAGAAACUUGUACUCAGCAGUUCUGUGCACCUUGGGUCUAGUUUGGGGUGAACACGGGGGAGGCUGAAACAUUCCCACUUGAGCCGGUUGCUCCCAGCACAGGGCACGGGCCAGGGAGCGCUGGUGCAGGUUCACACAGAGAUGUUCUCGUGUAAAAGAACAGCACGAGGCAGAAGCAACAAUGCCCUCAUAUAAGUGCAGUGCUUUACAGUUGCCAAGGAGCAGGAAUAGUGUGGGGACUGCCUCUCUUCUCCUCCUGCAACCUGCUGGACACAUUGCAUUGAGUUUGAGAUGAAUAAUUCGGAAGGGGCUGCAGACAGGUGAAGCUUCCUAAUGAAACAGAGACAGGAGGAAAUGAGCCAAGUGCCUUUGGGCACAUCGCUUAAACUCUGCAAGAUACAGUUUCUCUCUCUGUAAGAUAGGGAGACACGCUAACUACCUGAGCACUCCUAGCUCCCAGGUCUUGGUUGCUGCUACUAUUCUCUAAUAAAAGGGACCAGGGCUCCUGGGAGAAAUGGUUGAGUCUAGGACUGGAGCAGAAAAUUUCCAAGAUAAACCUGGAGCACCAGUAGUGUCACAAAGUCAGGAAGUACAGAAAAAACAAAACAACAACAAAUCACCCACCUCACAAGGAUAGUGGUGAUGGGGUGGGGGUAGUCUGUGGAAGGGAGAGAGCAGGGAGUCGAAAGAACUCCCAGUCACCAACGUUGGGACAAUUUGAGCAAUGAAAUAAAGAAGUGUUAGAUUAUAACCCGAGGUACAAAAUAAAUUUCCUCGAGUCCAUAUUGAUAAAAAGAAAUGGUUAGAAAACAGACUUGUUGGAAGUUCCCGUCAUGGCUCAGCGGUUAACAAACCUGAUAAGUACCCAUGAGGAUUUGGGUUCGAUUCCUGGCCUUGCUCAGUGGGUUAAGGAUCCGGUGUUGCCGUGAGCUGUGGUGUAGGUCACAGAUGUGGCUUGAAUCACGACUUGCUGUGGGUGUGGUGUAGGCUGGUAGCUACCGCUCUGAUUCAAACCUCCAUAUGCUGCAGGUGCAGCUUAAAACAAAAAACAAAAAACAAAAACACAGACUUGUGGUUAACAAAGGGGAGGGAGGUUGGGGAGGGAUGGAUUGGGAGUUUGGGGUGACAGGAUCAACACCAGCAGUGAGACCGCGCGUUAUCAGGAUGUGCCCUUGAUGUGAGGUGAUGAAAAUGGCAUGUUGCCUCCCUCGUGGCCCAGAACACACGGAGGCUGGUCUCGUCACAAGAAAAACAUCAAAAUACAUCUGAGGAUUCGUCUACAAAAUACCUCCUCUCCAAAAUCAUCAAGGUCAUCCAAACCAAGUCUAGUCUGAGAAACCAUCACGGCCAAGAGGAAGCAAAAAAGUAAGAUGAUCUCCUAGAUGGAAUCCUUGAACUGAAAAAGGACUGUAUAUAAAAACGGAUGAAAUCUGAGUCAAGUCCCAACAUUAGUUAAUAAUAACGUAUCGAUAUUGAAUCAUUAGCCAUGACAAAUGUACCACAGUAAUGUAAAAUGUUAAUAACAGGGGAAGAAUUCUCUAAAAAAUCUUUGCCAUUUUUCUAUAAAUCUAAAAAUAUACUAAAACUAAAAAGUUUCAUUAAAAACUACUGUCUGGGAGUUCCCGUCGUGGUGUAGUGGUUAACGAAUCCGACUAGGAACCAUGAUGUUGUGGGUUGGAUCCCUGGCCUCGCUCAGUGGGUUAAGGAUCCGGCAUUGCCAUGAGCUGUGGUGUGGGUCGCAGAUGCAGCUCGGAUCCCGUGUUGCUGUGGCUCUGGGGUAAGCCGGUGGCUACAGCUCCGAUUCCACCCCUAGCCUGGGAACCUCCAUAUGCUGCGGGAGUGACCCUAGAAAAGGCAAAAAAAAAAAAAAAAAAAAAGACAAAAAAAUAAAAAUAAAAACUACUGUCUACAUAGUAGGGUUGUGAGAAUUCUAAUAAAGCAUGAAAAGUGCUUAGCACAAUUGCCUGGUAGACGGCAACUCAGUUCUGAUCAGGUACAGAAAGCAGAGGAAGAAUGCACUGGGGGCUCAGGAAUACAAGACU
rnacentral:lncRNA from 1 species